GACGAACGCUGGCGGCGUGCUUAACACAUGCAAGUCGAACGGAAAGGCCCUGCUUUUGUGGGGUGCUCGAGUGGCGAACGGGUGAGUAACACGUGAGUAACCUGCCCUUGACUUUGGGAUAACUUCAGGAAACUGGGGCUAAUACCGGAUAGGAGCUCCUGCUGCAUGGUGGGGGUUGGAAAGUUUCGGCGGUUGGGGAUGGACUCGCGGCUUAUCAGCUUGUUGGUGGGGUAGUGGCUUACCAAGGCUUUGACGGGUAGCCGGCCUGAGAGGGUGACCGGCCACAUUGGGACUGAGAUACGGCCCAGACUCCUACGGGAGGAAGCAGUGGGGAAUAUUGCACAAUGGGCGGAAGCCUGAUGCAGCAACGCCGCGUGCGGGAUGACGGCCGUCGGGUUGUAAACCGCUUUCGCCUGUGACGAAGCGUGAGUGACGGUAAUGGGUAAAGAAGCACCGGCUAACUACGUG
rnacentral:rRNA from 1 species